rnacentral:rRNA from 1 species
GACGAACGCUGGCGGCGUGCUUAACACAUGCAAGUCGAACGGAAAGGCCCUGCUUUUGUGGGGUGCUCGAGUGGCGAACGGGUGAGUAACACGUGAGUAACCUGCCCUUGACUUUGGGAUAACUUCAGGAAACUGGGGCUAAUACCGGAUAGGAGCUCCUGCUGCAUGGGGUGGGUUGGUAAGUUUCGGCGGUUGGGGAUGGACUCGAUGCUUAUCAGCUUGUUGGUGUGGUAGUGGCUUACCAGGGGUUUGACGGAUAGCCGGCCUGAGAGGGGUACCGGCCACAUUGGGACUACGAUAGGGACCAGACGGCAACGGGACGCAGCAGUGGGGAAUAUUGCAGAAUGGGCGGAAGUCUGAUGCGGAGGCGCCGGGUGCGGGAUGACGGCCUUCGGGUUGUAAACCGCUUUCGACUGAGACGAAGCGUGAGUGACGGUAAUGGGUAAAGAAGCACCGGCUAACUACGUG